rnacentral:rRNA from 1 species
UGCAGUCGACGCUUUUUCUUUCCCGGAGCUUGCUCCCCGAAAGAAAAAGAGUGGCGAACGGGUGAGUAACACGUGGGUAACCUGCCCAUCAGAAGGGGAUAACACUUGGAAACAGGUGCUAAUACCGUAUAACACUAUUUUCCGCAUGGAAGAAAGUUGAAAGGCGCUUUUGCGUCACUGAUGGAUGGACCCGCGGUGCAUUAGCUAGUUGGUGAGGUAACGGCUCACCAAGGCAACGAUGCAUAGCCGACCUGAGAGGGUGAUCGGCCACACUGGGACUGAGACACGGCCCAGACUCCUACGGGAGGCAGCAGUAGGGAAUCUUCGGCAAUGGACGAAAGUCUGACCGAGCAACGCCGCGUGAGUGAAGAAGGUUUUCGGAUCGUAAAACUCUGUUGUUAGAGAAGAACAAGGAUGAGAGUAACUGUUCAUCCCUUGACGGUAUCUAACCAGAAAGCCACGGCUAACUACGUGCCAGCAGCCGCGGUAAUACGUAGGUGGCAAGCGUUGUCCGGAUUUAUUGGGCGUAAAGCGAGCGCAGGCGGUUUCUUAAGUCUGAUGUGAAAGCCCCCGGCUCAACCGGGGAGGGUCAUUGGAAACUGGGAGGCUUGAGUACAGAAGAGGAGAGUGGAAUUCCUGUGUAGCGGUGAAUGCGUAAUAUAUGGAGGACACAGUGGCGAAGCGGCUCUUGUCUGUAACUGACGCUGAGCUCGAAGCGUGGGAGCAGCAGAU